GAUGAACGCUGGCGGCGUGCUUAACACAUGCAAGUCGAACGUGAGAGGGUAGCAAUAUCCUUGAAAGUGGCGCACGGGUGAGUAAUACGUAGGUAACCUGCCCUGGAGUGGGGGAUAACAGCUGGAAACGGCUGCUAACACCGCAUGAGACUGGACGAGUGGGAACUCGACUGGUAAAAACUCUGGUGCUUCAGGAGGGGCCUGCGGCCGAUUAGCUAGUUGGCGGGGUAAGAGCCCACCAAGGCAGUGAUCGGUAGCUGGUCUGAGAGGACGAUCAGCCACACGGGAACUGAGACACGGUCCCGACUCCUACGGGGGGCAGCAGUGAGGAAUAUUGGGCAAUGGGCGGAAGCCUGACCCAGCAACGCCGCGUGGAGGAAGACGGCCUCGGUUGUAACGUACCUUUUUGGGGUAAGGUAGCGAGGACGGUACCCCAACGAAUAAGUACACGGCUAACUACGUGCCAGCAGCCGCGGUAAACGUGUAGUCGU
rnacentral:rRNA from 1 species